UUCCUGGUUGGAGGGACAGUUUUGGACUUUGAUGUCACUCCUUCAUAUACCUUAAAUAUUGAUUGUGCUGAUCAUAGGAGAUCUGUCUCAGAUGUUUUGACAGUAGCAAUAAUUCGAAACGAGCCACCAACAAUUGUAAACCUACCAAUGAGUUCAGACAUACCGGAAAGUAUAACUUCAGAAAGUUUGUUGUAUACCAUAUCGGUGACAGAUCCGACCAAUGAUACAGUUACAUGUGUUAUUACACCACCAACUUCUAUAUUCUAUCUCCAAACGACAUCAGCACAAUUUGAAACCGAGAUAUGGGUUCGAGGUAAUCAAGGGUUCGUGUAUGACACUAAGAGACAAUAUACCUUAAAUAUAGAAUGUGCUGACCAGCGAAGAAGUGAUUCGGAUGACUUUUACAUUUACAUUCUUCGAAAUAU